UACGUAGGGUGCAAGCGUUAAUCGGAAUUACUGGGCGUAAAGCGUGCGCAGGCGGUGAUGUAAGACAGAUGUGAAAUCCCCGGGCUCAACCUGGGAACUGCAUUUGUCACUGCAUCGCUGGAGUGCGGCAGAGGGGGAUGGAAUUCCGCGUGUAGCAGUGAAAUGCGUAGAUAUGCGGAGGAACACCGAUGGCGAAGGCAAUCCCCUGGGCCUGCACUGACGCUCAUGCACGAAAGCGUGGGGAGCAAACAGG
rnacentral:rRNA from 1 species